AUGUGCAGAAGUGUCUGCAGCAACGUGAGCCAUAGUCUACACACACGGUACUCACACGUCGGUACAGGAGCUGCUCCCAGGGGCAGUGUACACAGCGCUCCUGAGGGGACUCCAUGGCCCAAGCCACCCAACAGCCACACUUGUUUGUGCUGCCCGAACUGUGAGGUAUCCACAACCACUGAGAUUCUCACAGGAGUGAGCCAGAAGAGCUUCUCCUCCCCUCACCUCUGCCGGCUGCAUCUAACAUACAGAUCCCACUGCUGCGGGAAAGACUACUGCCAGAAGGGCAGGCUGAACUCAAAGCAUACCCUCCAGAUUCCACAGGUGAAUUCCACGAUCCCUUAAAACCCAGCUUUUUCCUGAGAAACCUGGACGUACCUGAUCUUAAGGCUCACAUGUGACCAAGGCUACAAAGCCUGACUACCGGGCCUCAUGUCUGAUCCCCAGGUUCCACUGUGAACAUUACAACAGUUCUGGAAGCUCUGAAAAGCCUGAAACCCAAUCAGCCCAGUGUCCCUGAAGAUCAGGUUAUCAACGCUACAAGCAGAGGCACGUAAGGCUGUAUUUCCAACUGCUUUAGAUCUUUCACUUUGGUCUUCCUAGUGUGCUUCAGAGCAAGAAGCACUCCAAUUCUCUAUCACCUCUGACUUUCAUCAACGGGAAUUUCAGUUGCUGGAAGCUGUAGCUUAUCAUUUUAAGUCCAGCAGUAAAGAAAGAUCUGCUAGGACUAGGUCAUAACGGAGUGGUGGAGGGCUUACACAGCAUGAGUGAGGCCCUAGGUCCAAUCCCUAGCACAAGAAAAGACACAAAAAACAUAAAUCUGCUAGAUCAUCUCUUGAAAGAAUGUAUAUGAUAGAGACCACGUGUUUCUACUGGCAAUACUCUGGAUGGCUGGUUGAGGAGACUGUACACAAUGGUGGAUGCUAUUUCAAGAAAUUCUAAGAACAGUAAAAAUAAGCGUCAAGCAGUGGUUGGUUGCAUUCAGCACGGUAGGCAGAGAAGCGCCCAGCUGCUUUUCCCAAGCCUUGUGAGAACACGAACCAUUCAAGAUUCAGCUCCAGCCAUGAGCUCCGGGUUUGUGUUUUUCAUUAAAAACAAAAGUAUGGCCACUUUUCAGCACUGGAUCAUUGACUAUAAUCACUUCCUCUUUUACCUCUUAUCUUUUUAUGUUCAACUUUUAAACUCAAACAUAGCCCUCAUUUUCCCCCUCAAGUUUACACACCAGAUGAUAAACAUUUUAACCUAUUUACCAGGGUAGCAAUGCCUGCAAGCCAACUGUGCUGUUAUAGUGACCACCAUUUGUAUAGAUAGGAAUAUUUGUGGAAUUAACAUAUGUGACAAAAAGCAUAAGCAACACAGUCCUAAGACAUGAAGCUUAAACUAUAAUUGAAACAA
rnacentral:lncRNA from 1 species